rnacentral:tRNA from 1 species
GGAAGGAUGGUCCAGGGUUAGGAUGCCAGCUUGGGAUUCUGGUGGGCUGGGUUCAAUUCCCAGUUCUGCUG